CACGUCAUUCGACUGAUGACCUAUCAGCUAGUACUUAGGGUCUUUACCUAGGUAGGCUAUCACGGGUAACGGGCGGCUACCGUCGGACUGCCGGAGAAGGCGCCUGAAAGAUAUAUGACUAUCUCUCGGU
rnacentral:rRNA from 1 species